GUUUUGGUGAGAAAAGGCCAGAAUUAUCCAGGAGAGAGAAGCUGAACUGUGAGGUCAGAUUUUUCCUGGACUGUUUGGUUUGCAGGUGAUUUCUGACACCUUCAUAGCUUACUUGGCAUGGAAAGGGCUCUGGUGCCUAAGGUUCCUGUGGAAGAAGCCUGAAAGCCUGCACUGAUGGUCUAGAUAUGAACCUGCAAACCAGAAGCCAAAAUCAAUCCAGGAUGAAUGGCAGAAUCUCUUCCAACAGCUGGAGAACCUGCAAGGGAAAACUGGAGGUUACCUAACAGCACUGCAGUUACAGAAGAAUAAAGCCUCCACUGAGACUCUAUUACUUCAGAACUUCAGCUUCAUAGACAACACUUGGGAAGCAACACUGCCCUGAAAGUUUAGCUCUCAUUAAACAAGCAAGAACUGAGCAUGCCUUUCUGAAGACAGAAUUUGACCUUUGUUCUCCCAAAGAUUUGAUUCACAUGUCAAAUGAAUUAUAGAGCAGAAGCAAUUUAAAUAAACACACUUAUAAAUAUAUAGCAUAUCAGUAAUGAUAUACCGACACCCUCAAAACAACUCUUGCUGUAAAUUUCAGCUUCACUUUUUUAGCUUGCCUGAGUUUUUUUCUAUUUAGCUUUAUUUCUAUACACAGGUUUUCAGAUUAUGCAUGGAUAUUAGCUAAUGAGUUACACAGUUAAUUUUUAACUUGUUUUAUUUAGUUGACAAGGAUUCAUUUGUCAAAAGAAAGCAACAUUAAACAACUACACAACAAUGAAAUGCUAACUCACUGGAAAUUAGUAUGUCUCCGGGUAAAGAGGAAGAAAUUUAUGUGAAGAUCCCUACAAAGAAAUCCUCUAAUGUCCCUCACUGACUUCAGAAAGAACUCAUCCUUCUUCAAAGAUGGCACUUUCUGCUUUUACACAGACCUUUUUAUUGCAAAUGGAACACAAGUUUAAAUCUUUCACAAAGGGCAGAAGCCACAAUAGGUCCUUGGCAAAUAAGUUUUAUUCCAUGAAAUGGGAGAAGAAGUGGAACAGGAACAGCUUGACCUGGGAACAGAUUUAGAAAAAAUAUCUUUGAAAUUCUUUUAUGGAAAUCGGAUUAAAAAUUUUCUGGAGAGAAUAUUUUCUGCCUAACACAAUAAAAUAAGGGUUUUAACCCAGAGGGAGAAUGUCAGGGGCUCCUAUCUGUUGUCAUUUAGUAUGGGAAAAACACCUGAAGGACAGAGGAGGUCUGAGACUGAGGGGGGAAGGUAGAGAGCAGUAAUCCUGGUAAAGCAGGGAAUCAGGUAUCUGAUAAUGAAGUCCAGACACAAAAAUAUCAAGAGACAGUUGACUUUGGCUUCCAGUCUGGUUUGUCUGUUCCUGGUUUAACACCCCUGCUCCAGCACAAGGCCUUGUUGCACUUCAAAAGCCUCAUCCAUAACAUUUGUCUCCUCUACACAAGGAUGUUCAGAGUUCCUAGGAGUUCCUAGGAGUCAUUACGUGUAUUGCUUAAGGCUUACUGAGCCUUUGAUGAACUAAAUAAUAAUCUUUUUUGACAGGGAGAUAAACCAGGCUGUAGGACACUGUGAUUUCCAAACAAGUCACUGCCAGAUAUUACACACAAUUUCAGAUGCAUUCAUUUGAUGCAUCAACCAUCAGGCAGCAGUUGUUUCAUAUUUUCCCAAAGUUUUGUAUGGGAAUUAAAAGACCCUAUUGUGCUGGGUGAUCUGUGUCCAUUCACUCGUCUUUGACCUCAAAGUUCUACAGCAGAACUCCCUUUAAAAAUGAAAGCUUAACACAAGCAUGGCCAACAGAUUUUGCUCUUCAAACAGCUUUUCUACUUGACAUCAAGGACGAUGAUACACAUAUUAAAAGGAGAUUUAAGAAUAACUGCAGUGUUUCCAUUGUGGACAACAUAUGAACGACAUUGAAAAAGAUUUCUCAAAUCCCCGAAGGGUUUUUAACAAAAGAAAAAACAACAUAUUUGGCAACACUACUUUUUCACUUGUUACUCCUCUACAGAUUAUUCUGUAAAUAAACUCCCAUGUUCCUGUUUCGUGUUCAAAGUCAAAAUAGUCAAUGAAAUACUGGAAAAUCUUUUGUUCUUGUUGUUGCUGUUGUUGUUUUAGUUUAACUUUCAUUUUUCUCCAGUUAUCUUAUUCUUUUUGAUCCCACUUUCUAGUUAUGAGUAACUUGGGCUUGUCUGCGAAAGGGAGGAAUGGGGAGAAAAGGUUUUUGAUGAGAACUGCUUGUUAAAUUUAUUAUCAAGAGAAUUUACCUUGAUUGUUUUCUCUGUACAAAGAAAUAUACCUGUUAAAAAACACCCAAAAUAGGAAAUCUUUGCCCUAUUCCAAUAGGGUAAGUUCUAGAUGAAACAAAAGGUUGAGAGAGAUGGAUAGCAACAAUUAAUAAAUGUG